GGGCAACAGCAAUUCUCGUACGAUCACCGAAGUUAAGCAACGUCGAGACUGGUCAGUACGUAGAUGUGUGACCGCUUAGGAGUACCAGGUGCUGUAAU